CGCAUCUGUGCAUGCAGGCAUAUCAAUAAGCGGAGGAAAAGAAACUAACAAGGAUUCCCCUAGUAACGGCGAGUGAAGCGGGAAGAGCUCAAAUUUGAAAUCUUAAAGGGUUUCCCUUUACGAAUUGUAGUUUAAAGAAGUGUUUUCUGUUGAGGUUUUGGUAAAAGUUCUUUGGAAUAGGACAUCAUAGAGGGUGAGAAUCCCGUAUUUGACCUUUACUUUCAACUUUGUGAUACACUUUCAAAGAGUCGGAUUGUUUGGGAAUGCAGUCCAAAAUGGGUGGUAAAUUUCAUCUAAAGCUAAAUAUUGGCGAGAGACCGAUAGCGAACAAGUACCGUGAGGGAAAGAUGAAAAGAACUUUGAAAAGAGAGUUAAACAGUACGUGAAAUUGUCAAAAGGGAAGCGUUUGACACCAGUGUUGUUUUUCUGAAAAUCAAUUAAAGAACUGUUUAUGCUAAGUUGUUUAGACUUUAUCAGCUAUCUGCUUUAGUUUUGAGCUUUUCUUUAAUGCACUUUUCAGUUAACAAGUCAACAUCAAUUUCUUUUGCUGUAAAAAAGCUUGAGGAAGGUGGCUUGAGAUUCGUCUUAAGUGUUUAUAGCCUCUUGCCUAUGCAGUCGGAGAGAUUGAGGUCUGCAGCGUAGAUCCUUCGGGGCUAAAUGCAUUUGUGCUAAGUUAUAGCAUUUUAUAGACAACUUGUUGACUAUGAUUUGUCUUGUAGCUUACUCGCUUAUGUUAUUUUACCUACGCUUAGGAUGUUGAAUCUGUGCGAGACUAC
rnacentral:rRNA from 1 species